ensembl:snoRNA small nucleolar RNA SNORA48
CCCCCUGGUUAUGGGCAAAGAGAACCCCUCGGUGAUGGUGCUGCUCUUAUAUCAGCCUGGGGCAGAGCAGACGCAGUCCCUUGUUCAUCCUAGCUUGAUGCCUGGGUUGGUGCCAGAAGCUGUUUCAUGCCUGGGGCACAUGA